rnacentral:rRNA from 1 species
GUAGGUGGCAAGCGUUGUCCGGAAUUAUUGGGCGUAAAGCGCGCGCAGGCGGUUCUUUAAGUCUGAUGUGAAAGCCCACGGCUCAACCGUGGAGGGUCAUUGGAAACUGGAGAACUUGAGUACAGAAGAGGAAAGCGGAAUUCCACGUGUAGCGGUGAAAUUCGUAGAGAUGUGGAGGAACACCAGUGGCGAAGGCGGCUUUCUGGUCUGUAACUGACGCUGAGGCGCGAAAGCGUGGGGAGCAAACAGGGAUUAGAUACCCUGGUAGUCCACGCCGUAAACGAUGAGUGCUAAGUGUUAGGGGGUUUCCGCCCCCUUAGUGCUGCAGCUAACGCAUUAAGCACUCCGCCUGGGGAUACGGCCGCAAGGCUG